AUGUUGUAUAAAGGAGAGAAGAUUAGCAGUCCUCUUAGUGAGGAUGGAAGAGGCCCUCAGCCCUGUACAUCACACAAGCAGUGAAGGCAUUGCCACCUCCUUGGUGGCAUCACAUGAUUUUGA